rnacentral:rRNA from 1 species
GCUGACGAGUGGCGGACGGGUGAGUAAAGUAUGGGGAUCUGCCAAAUGAGGGGGACAACAGUUGGAAACGACUGCUAAUACCGCAUAAAGUUGAGAGACCAAAGCAUGGGACUUUCGGGCCAUGCGCCAUUGAUGAACCCAUAUGGGAUUAGCUAGUUGGUAGGGUAAAGGCUUACCAAGGCGACGAUCUCUAGCUGGUCUGAGAGGAUGACCAGCCACACUGGGACUGAGACACGGCCCAG